UGGGGAAUUUUGGACAAUGGGCGAAAGCCUGAUCCAGCAAUGCCGCGUGUGUGAAGAAGGCCUUCGGGUUGUAAAGCACUUUUGUCCGGAAAGAAAUCCUUGGCUCUAAUACAGUCGGGGGAUGACGGUACCGGAAGAAUAAGCACCGGCUAACUACGUGCCAGCAGCCGCGGUAAUACGUAGGGUGCAAGCGUUAAUCGGAAUUACUGGGCGUAAAGCGUGCGCAGGCGGUUUGCUAAGACCGAUGUGAAAUCCCCGGGCUCAACCUGGGAACUGCAUUGGUGACUGGCAGGCUAGAGUAUGGCAGGAGGGGGGUAGAAUCCCACGUGUAGCAGUGAAAUGCGUAGAGAUGUGGAGGAAUACCGAUGGCGAAGGCAGCCCCCUGGGCCAAUACUGACGCUCAUGCACGAAAGCGUGGGGAGCAAACAGGAUUAGAUACCCUGGUAGUCCACGCCCUAAACGAUGUCAACUAGUUGUUGGGGAUUCAUUUCCUUAGUAACGUAGCUAACGCGUGAAGUUGACCGCCUGGGGAGUACGGUCGCAAGAUUAAAACUUAAAUGAAUUGACGGGGU
rnacentral:rRNA from 1 species